rnacentral:rRNA from 1 species
UUGGAUAGUCCCUUACUACUUGGAUACCGUAGUAAUUCUAGAGCUAAUACAUGCAUCAAUACCCGACUUUUUUGGAAGGGUAGUAUUUUUUAAAUUUAAACCAACCCACUUUGGUCGUGGUUUGGUGAUUCAUAAUAAAAACCGAGCUCGCCCGAUGUCUCCCGCUGGUGGAUAAUUCAUCUUUCUGCCGAAUCAUCUUUUGAUGGCAGUGUAUUGGACGCCCAUGGGGUUAACGGGUAACGAAUUAUAAUGGGGGUAUUUCUCAGAAGGAGCCUCAGAAAAAGCUACCACAUCCUAGGAGGGAGGCAGGCGCGCAAAUUACCCCCCCCUGACACACGGGGGAAGUGACAAUAAAAAACAAUGCGCGGCCCCUACUGGUCUGUGAAUUGGAAAGAAAACAAUUUAAAACCCCUUUACAAGAUCAAUUGGGGGGGAAAUCUGGG